rnacentral:lncRNA from 1 species
UAUGGACAAUGGUAUUUCUCUGCAAGAAUGUGGCCCAUCUGUGUACCAUGCUGAAUUGGAAUUGAUGUGAUUUACUUUUACUUUGAUGUGAGCAUUUUCUUGGCCUGGAUAACAUCCCUUUCGUGUGUUAUUUUGUGAGAACGAAUCAAAUUACGCGUGAUGGUAGGAAUUUGGUUAGGAGUUUCUUUGUGGUGUUUAUUGAUUAGGUCCUUUUCAAAUUAUAGGGAUUUUGAUAUGUCAUGAGUAAAAUUUAUACCAAAGUUUCAAGCGACCUCUUUUGCAUUCCAUCAAACCAUUUCAAUCUUCUUUCCUUUGUGACAAACUUUGAUUUUUAGAUGAAUAGACAUGUACAAACCCAACUUCACUAUUUGACUGCUUGUGAUUUUUCAACUUGUUU